AUGAUAUAUGAUCCUAAUGAAGUUUUUAAAAAGUACCAUCACAAUGAAACGAUAAAGUGUAUUGAUUCCUUGAAUCAAAAUAUUCUUAGUAAAGAAGAGUCUAUUAAAAAUUUUUUAAAAGAAAAAAGCAGCAAUGUAAUUGACAAUACUAUUAAAAUUAAGAAUGUGUAUGGGAGUGUGGAAAGGAUAAAAUACAACUUAGAAAAUAUAAUUGACAAAUAUGGUGUUUUAAUUAGUGAUGUUAAAAAUACAACUACUAAUUUAAAAGACAGCUCGUAUUCUAAAGAGUUAAGCGAUUAUGAAAAAAGUAUUGUAAAUAAAGUAUGGGAGAAAAAAUAUGAGAGUUAUAAAUUUUUGUUUAACAACUCUUUUUUUUUUUUAUCAAAUAAAGCAGACAUUAGUGAUCAGUAUGAUUUUGUUAAGAAAGAAAAAGAAGAUUUAAUGAACUAUGAUUGUUUUUAUUUAAACAAUUAUAUAAAUAACUUUUAUUUUGAUAUUAACAAAAAGGUAAGUGAACAAAAUUAUAUAUAUGUCAUAAAUAAAAUAUACACAGACAUAUUUAUUUGUUUAAAAGUUUUAAAUUCCAUUUUUAAAAGCAACAACAUUCGAAACAUUUAUGUAAAAAUUUUUAAUAAUAAAAAUGCGGUACACUAUUUAAAUUCAUUUAUUAGUAUACAUAAGGAAAAUUUCUGUGAUAUAUUAAUAAGAUUGGUAUACUCGUCAUAUUAUAAUUUAACAUAUAACAUUUCUUGUAAAGUUAAAGCAAUAUCCCAAUCAUUAAUUGUUUUGUUAAUGUUUUACAAUAAAAAAAAUAAUAAAAUACAUGAUAUAGUACAGGAUGAUUUAUUUCAAAAUAUUCUAAAUGCACGAAUAAAAUUAAUAACUAAUUUUAUUAAAAAUAAAACAAGUAAAAAAGAACAUAUAACCUUUGAAAAUAUAAAAGUGUAUUAUAAAAAAAGUAUAGAUUUGUUAUUAAAUACUAAUUAUAUAUUGUUACUAUUACUUGAUUUGAGUCAAGUAAAAGUAGAUAAAAGAUUAAAACAACAAGGUCAAAAUUGUGUUAACAAUGUAACAAAUGAGCAAAAGUUUAAAACGAAAAAGUUACAAGUUAAUAAUUUGGAAGAUAGUUUCGAGGAAAAAGUUGGUAAAAGUGACAAAAAUGGCAAAAGUGGAAAAAGUGGCAAAAAUGACAAAAGUGGCAAAAAUGGCAAAAGUGGAAAAAGUGGAAAAUGUGGUAAAAAUGGCAAAAAUGACGAAAAUAAAAAUGGCGAAAACCAAAAUAACAUGCUUCUGCAAAUUAUGAGAAAUGAUUUGUUUAUAUUACAGAGUGUAUUUCAUAAUGAUGAAAAUAAAAAAGUAAGAAAAAAUAAAGAAUAUUUUAACUUUGUUAUUAAUAGUAUAGAAGAAAUAAAAAUUAUAUUAAAUAGUAAAGCAAAUGAGAAUUUUAACAUAUUAAAUAAUUAUUACGUGGAAUGUAUUAUGUGCGUUUAUACGUGUAUGAUAAAAAUAUUAUAUUAUUAUUAUAAUAAAAGUGAAUAUAAUAAUAUAUAUAAUAAUUUAUUUAAUGAAUAUGAAAGUAUUAAAUUGUUACAUAUGAAAAUAAAAAGAAAAAUGAUUAGUAAAAAUAAAUACUUGAACACAUUUGUUAAAGACAUAGACAUUUAUUUAAAUAAUAACUAUUUAAAUGAUAUGAAUGAUCAGAUUUUUGAUAUAUUUUUUUUUUUUUUUUUAACAAAUUUAUUACUGCUAUACCAUUUUUUGAUUUCAAACCAAUUAAUAAAUGGAAAAUUAUUAUAA
rnacentral:lncRNA from 1 species